rnacentral:lncRNA from 1 species
ACUUGACCGGACGGCCAUACUUUUUUCAAUUUCUUUUAUCUGAAUUGGAUGACAUUGCGAAAAGGUUCACAAAUGCAGCAAACACACUAAACCAGGUUGGUUUAUUUAUUUAAUUGUCUAUUUUAGAAAACCAUGCAGAGACACUCAGUAGAAAAGGGAAGCAUGGAAGCAACCAUGGCAACCUCACAUACGCUCAUUCGAAACGCAAGCUCUUGAUUAUUAUAGUUCUCACACCAGCAGGUAUACGAACUCAAACCCGAACUAACCACUUCAAGCAUAGGCACCAGGGUUGGCCAGGAGGUAGGCCUCUGCAGCCUUGAUAGUCCCGAUCACUGCUUCCUUUCCCUUGGCAAUCUCAUCCUUGUUGUCAACUCCUGGUAAUGGCUUAUAGGUUGUCACCACCUUGCACACGCACCCUCCCUUGCUGGAUUUCUCGAACUUGAAAUGGGUUGAGGCCGACUCGAUCUUCUUCCCGAGAUCGCCGCCUUCGACAAGGCUGUGCUUGCACUCAAACUUGUCGAAGUCCACAAAGUCCAGGCGCUCCUUUACAUAGCUAAAUGGCAUGGCUACAAAUAUGGGAACCACAAGGUUAGCACCAGCUCUAAGUCCAUAAAAAUUAGAUAUAUAUAAGGAUUUGUUUGAAUGAUUGGGCUGAAAAAAUUUUAUUAGAUUCGUGGAUUAAGUCAGUACAAUCAGCAAAAUUAUAGGAUUACAAGCUGAUCUAGACAUAUACUUAGAAAUAGCUUUGGAGUGGGCAGGUUAGAUUUCCAUAUCAAGAAAAAAAGAUUUUAGCCUGUAAACAUAUGAAUAUAGGCUUGGUCCGGCUUGUAAUCUUAUGAUUUUGCUUGCUGUAUUGGUUCAAUCCAUGAAUCCAAAAGGAUUUUUAGCCCAAUCACCAAAACAGAACUUAAGACUAGAAAAUUUCAAAGUGUGAGCCAUAAUACCUGAGGUGAAGUUGAUCUGUCUGACACUCCCAACACUACCAUCACCAUGGACACCAGCGGCACUUGCGACGAUGUCAGGCAAGAGCUUAGCGGCCAGGUUGUGCCAGUCGAGGACCGCCUUGAACAACCUUGGAGCGGGCGCUUGGGACUCGACCUCGAGGUUCCAACAUGGGGGACUCAUGGUUAAAUUGGAUUCUUUAUUGGGCUUCACUUCUUUCUGCUAAGUUGUGGUGAGCGAAAUCCAGAUGGAGAAUGGCGAGCAAAGGAUGGGGGUUUUAUAGAGGGUUUGUGUGGAAUGGUAGGUAUGGAACGAAGAAGCAUGCGUGCUGGUUUUUUCAAAUUUGGGCAGCGCCUUUGCUAAACUGCUGACUAAUAAAAAUAGAGGAAAGAAUGCGGGGGAGAGGUAGCUAGGUGCUCACGUCGAGGUGAGACUUUUUUUUUUUUGGUGAGACUUGGGGAACGUUUUUUUUUCCAUUGGCGGAUCCCAGCUAAAACGAUCAUGAGCGCUCUAACUGUUGAUAUAUGCCCUGCUUCGCAGUUUAUGAUUUCAAAUUUUAAUAUUAAAAGAAUAUAUGAAAAACUAACAUUUUUAGUGUUCGUCUAAUAAAAAUAUCAUUUUUUAGGUGAGACAGACUUAAUUAUUUGGAGAUUAUUUAGAUUAUAAUAAAUUGUUAUAUUGCCCAAUAACCCAUCUGUUAUCUUUUUCUACGUUAUAUUGCUAUAAUAACAGAGUAAAGUAGGGGCCAAAAAGCAUUAUAAAUUUAUAAUAACCAUUCUUCUUUUUUUAUAAUAACCAAUACGCGAGCCGUGGUCAUAAUGAGCAUGUGGCAACCCAUGUCUAUAAUAACAUUUCUCAAACCCAUUUACUAAGUGAAUUGAGUUCAAAUUUAGACUUUGACACCUUUAACUUAUUUUGUUCUAUUUAAUAAUUAGAUCAAAUAUAACUUGACAUAUUUAAUUUAUUUAAUCUAUUUAAUCUGAUCUGCUUAACUUGUUUUUAUUAUAUUUAACUCGAUAUGGAAGUCUAUCUAAAUUUAAUUAAUUUAUUAAAAAUUUAUUUCACUUGUUUAAUAGAUGAGUUAUAUGGAUCAGGUCGGAUUAUCUAUUUAAUAAAUAUAUCAAAUUUAGAUUGAUGGUUUUUUUGACUCAAUUCGUAUUCAAUCUGAUCUAUAUUCGAUCUGAUCCAAUUGUGACCUGUACUCUGCUCAGACAAGGACUUUUUAUCUAUAUAAAAAUUUAGUUUGGGUAUGUGGCCAGAGCUCUAGCUGGGCAUCUUGGCCUGCAAGAGGAUGCGUUUAGCCCAGCCCAAAACGAAGAGGCUUGCUUUCUUUCUUCCGGUAGUUGGUGAGGGGAACAGCAUACGCGGAUCUGGGUCCCCGUGCGGGCCCAUGGUAUUUCCGUGCUUGAGAUGACGAAAAUGGCCCUGAGAAGGGUAUACUAGGAAGGAAACUAAGAUUUCGCGGCUGAUUUUUUUUUUUUUUUGAUUUUUUGGUGGAUAAAAAUGCGAAGAAGCGGGAUAGCUUGGAGGACCUGCAGAAGAUACUGGCAGAUAUAGUGAACGGAGAUGGCCGGACCGCCGGGUUUGCGAGGAAAGAUCCGAGUUGGCAUGGGCUUUGACCCACUUGGGAGCCUGGUCGACUCAGUGGAGGAGCUGGGGACAACUGGGUCGGCUGGGUUGCAGGCCAGCCCAGAGAUCCAAAUAGUUGAUGCGGGCUCGAGCCAAUCAAACAAAAGGCCCAGGAGCCCAGCGCCACACCCUGCGUUGGGUCUAGGGCUGGAAGUGGGCCGGGCCGGGCCGGGCCAUACUCCUACCCGAGCCCGGCCCGNNNNNNNNNNNNNNNNNNNNNNNNNNNNNNNNNNNNNNNNNNNNNNNNNNNNNNNNNNNNNNNNNNNNNNNNNNNNNNNNNNNNNAGCCUGAUCACGAGCCCGGCCAGAGAUGUUCGCGUCCGGAGCAAGCUCCCGAAGCCACAAAUCUCUGUGCACCAACAUGAAGGCGUGGAUGCGAUCUGAUCAUUCCCAUGUAGGCCGGACUGCGCCCUCACCUCUCGGCAGAGGAGCCGAGCUCCAGCUCAUGCUCGGUGUCAUCGGCGCCGGCGCGCCUCUCGUCUUGUUCCCCAUCUAAACCCAUAAAUUCGCCCUCAGUCACCACCUCAAGGAGGAUCCGAUGGUAGGUCUUCUUCCUUUACUUAAAGGCAUAAAGCCGCUGUUCUAAUUUUUAUCUACUUCCAGCAACUCAAAUGGUAAAGAGGGGCAAUCCCUGACUCCCAUUCACAUAAAAAAAAAAGAAAAAAACUUUAUUUCUUAUUCUUCUUCUCUCUCUUUUUCUUGUUUUCCCCCCCGAAUAAAUGGCAGGAAGCAUCAAUGGCAGAAUACAUAAUACAACAAUACAUCGCGACGUCAGGCGGCGAGCAAGCAUUAAACUCGGUGAGUAGUAUGUACACCAUGGGGAAGGUAAGGAUGACGGCGACGGAAUUCCGAGCAGGCAAUGGCAAUAACGCCAGCCAUGCCAACAAGAAGGCGAGCAAGGGUGGUGGUGGAGGGGAGAUGGGAGGGUUCGUGCUGUGGCAGAAGAAGCCGGACUUGUGGUGUCUUGAACUGGUGGUGGCCGGUUGCAAGAUCAGCGCUGGGAGUGACGGCAAGGUGGCAUGGAGGCAGACAGCAUGGCUUCGCCUCUGUGCCUCUGCAAAUCCCUCGGGCAAGUUGGCAACUGGGUUUAGCCGCGAUUCGGCAGACUGCAGACACAACUGGGUUUAGCCACGAUACGGGCUGGAAGUGGGCUCGGGCUUGGACGGGCCCGAGCUGGGCCAAUGAAAUACCCGAGCCCGGCCCGAAAUAGAAAUGGGCUUAAUCAUUCAGCCCGAGCCCGGCCCGAAAUGCAUUGAGCCUAGCCCAUAGCCCGGCCCGCGGGCGGCCCGACCCGAUGGGCUUCGGGCCGGCCCGAGCCCACUUCCAGCCCUAGUUGGUCGGGCUGCAGGAGGGCGGCUCGAGAGCGCGAGCAGGGCCUCUCCAGAGAAAGGUUCAGGCGUGGCCUGUGGGCUCGAGGCGGGCCCAUCAAGAGCCUUGAAGCGGGCCGGCCUGGGGCUGACCUGGGCAUGUUGCCCAUGUCGGGCACAACGGGGCCCAGGAGUGAUGGAGCUGCUAGCUCCGGCCACAACGAAGGCGGCCCAAGCGGGACAUGAUCUCCCCCAAGCCAUGCCGGAGAGCGACCUAGAGGGGAGGUCGGACGUGGGAGGGUCGGUGCCGCCCAGGAGCGGGGUUGAAGUGGCUCGGGCGGACCGAAUGAUCCAGGGGGCGGUGGUGGAAGAGGUGGGCUGCGACGGCGGUGGCGAUUGGGCUGCUGGCAGGGUGGUGGCGGUUGUGGAUCACCCCACUGUUGUGCAACAUGUGAAGGUUGCAGCGAUGAGGGUGGUCUCGGGCAUGAGCGAGGAAGGUGAGCAGCGAAUUGAACAGGCCCACAGUGGAUUGGAGGACCUUGAGACUUUGGGGGGGUACACGUCAGGGCCCACUUAUCAAGGUAGUGCGUUAUGAAGAUUCUAGUAUCGAACUGAGGGGGGCGGCCAAGCCUUCCUUCAUGACUUCAUUUAGGAGAUCAAAUCAGGUGAAUGACUCGGAGAUCUGCUUUCUAUGUGAGACGUGAUUAUUUGGAGAUGGUCUCUGUCGAGUGCAGCAUCGCCUGGCAGCUGAUCCUAGGGACUAUUUUGGGGCAUCUUGGGGUUGUGGAAGAGGGGGAUAGCCACUAUGGAUGUUUUCCAUAACUACUUACAGCAGGUUGUAAUAGUUAUUUCAGAACCUAAUGAAGCUCCGUGGGUAUUAUGUGGUGUGUAUGCCAAUACUGACUACAGAGUUAGGAGAGUUCUCUGGAAUGAGAUCACCAACCUGAUUUCCUAGGGCAUUCCGACAGUGGUGGUGGGUGACUUCAAUUGUAUCCAGGGGCUCAGUGAGAAACAGAGAGGCAGGGCUUACACCGACUCAGUGGACAGGAGGGAGUUUCGGAAUUUCUUGUCGAAGAAUGAACUGGUGGACCUCAGAUUCUCUGGGUCGAGAUUCACUUGGUGCAACAACCAGUCCAGCCGAUAGAUAGGGUCGUGCAUCUCCAUGCUGGGUUCUCUGCUUCCCUACCUACCAAGUCAGUAACUUACCUCGGAUAGCUUCGAAUCAUUGUCUUCUUUUGAUUUCUACAGAAUCUUGCUCCAGUCACGACAUCUCAUUCCGCUUUGAGAAAGUGCGGCUGUCAUAUCUCCAGUCUUAGAACAUUGUUCGGGAGGCUUGAGAGGUGCUAGUGCGGGGUGAUGCUAUGCAGAGGGUUUCGCGUAGGCUGGGGCUCACUAAGCGAUGACUCUGUUGGUGGAACCGAGAGGUAGUUCUUCAGGAGAUUGGAGGAGGCUGAGAUUUCGAUUGCUGAUCUUCAGGGGAGAGAGGAUAUGGGUGGAGAGCUCUGGGAGGCCGACAUGGUAGUCAUACAACAGCAACUUGCUACACAUCACUCCCUCUUGCAGCAGCAGGAGCUCUUCUAGAGACAGAAAUCUAGAAUUCUGGGUCAAGGAGAAGGACUGGAACACCAGAUUCUUCCACCAGACGAUUAUUAUCAAAAGGCAGAGAAAUACGAUCCACUCUAUGGAGUCAAGUCAUGGCGGCUAGAUACGGCAAAGUGCGGACUAAUGGGGCGGCCCCGAGUAGAGGAGAAGACACUACAUGUGGCGGGAGAUUUGCAAGUACAUGCCUACUGCCUUGGUGAAUACCAAAUGGCUGAUCGGCGAUGGGCAGAGCAUGGAUGUUGUGGACGACCCAUGGGUAGUCUCUCUUCCUUUGAGACUGUCGCGACCAUGGUCAACGUCGAGGCUACGGAUGGACUCUAGUUUUGCGAUCUUCUUAACUCAGAGGGGGUGGAGUGGAAUGUCGGCAGGAUCUAUCGGUUAUUUGGAGAGCACCUUGUAGAGCGUGUUUGAUUGCUCCCGAUUUCGAGGUGUGCUGAUGUGAGGGUUUGGAGCACGUCCUGUAGAGCCAGUGUCAGGUGGGAGAUGUCUUCCGCAUCCUCCAGCAAGAGCACAAGCCUUGGAUGGAUUAUGCUUAGAUCUGGAGCAUCCGACUUCAUCCGAAGGUAGCAUUAUUUCUAUAGAAGGUGGCUUAGGAGCGCCUGUCGACGAGAUUGGGGCUAAGCAAAAGGGGACUGGGCAUUCAUCCCCAGUGUCCGAAUUGCUGAGUGGACGAGACGGUGGAUCAUGUUCUGCUCUAGUGUGUGUGGGCUAGGGGGUCAGAGGCUCGUCGAGAUCCCACACGAUGCCUAGAGUCGGAUGGGGUCUUUCCUACAGGCAGUUUAUUGGUGGUCCAACGGCUCCGAGAUGCGUCGGGUGGCUGUUGCAGCGAUCUACACAGCUUACUAGAUCUAGUUGGUAAGGAAUGCUCAGACUUUUGGUGAGAAUAGUUCGUCCUCAAGGUUCCACGUGGAGCGCGCUCGGGUACAAGUAGCAGAGAUCAUUAAUGCAAGCUUAGCUUAUGGGUCUUUGAUAGCUCAGGACAGUUGGAGCCCUCAUUUUGCUCAAGUAGAGCCUUGUAUGGUGUUCUUCACUUGGGAGCGCCCACCUCCAAGCUUCCUUAAGGUCAACUUCGAUGGAUCCAUGCGAGACGGUGGCAGAAGAGGAGGUGAUGGGUUUGUCAUUAGGGGCUCGAACUCUAGGAUAGUGGCUGCCAAAUCUUCGAUACCUCAGUCAUUGGAGCAAAGCUGCGGCUGAAUUGGGCUAGCUUGUGCCGUGCUCGGCGUGUGCUAUAGGCCAGCUCGAUUACAUUACAGGAUGACUCGGGCAUCGUGAUCAGUUGGAUCCAAGGUGGCCCGAGUGGUGGUAGAGGGAGACACCCUCUUCUUCGAGAUAUUUAGACUUUGGUGAGUGACGUUGUGGCCUUUCAGGUUAGGCAUGUGUUUAAAAAGGUUAAUGAGGCUGCGGACUGGGUGACUUCUUAUGUGACUUGUCACUCCGGGGGUAUCCUGUGGGCUGGAAAGGGGGAGUUGCUCAGAGUACUCCAAGAUUUAUUAUUUUUUGAUUUUAUUGGGUAUAUCCAUACUCGAACGGUAUGAACGCCGCUUUAGCGACAAAAAAAAAAAAAGAAAAUACAACGUUGUUGCUGGGUCCUUUUGUGUGGGGUCCAGGUGCUUAUCCUUGUGGUCGGAUGUAAACUUAGCGGGAAAAAGGUUUGGAUGCGAGUGAAUGCCUUUUUAGAUACAUAACCUUGUUAUCUUCAGAUGGUAUGUUAUAUAAGAAUGUGCUAGUGGUGUCGUUAGCAAGAGUUAUUAUAAGCCAUCAGUGUAAGCUAGUGUUGAGCUUAAUGGGCCUGGAUACUUAAAAUUUAAUUAACGGUUCUCUGUGAUUUGCAUUUUAAUUGCAUAAUUGUUUCUGUUGCUAGUCGAUCCAAAGACAAGAAUCAUCCGUGGUACUCACAUACCUCGCAAAGGAAAUUAGGAUUUGUUUCAUUAGCUUUAGCAAAAACCCAGAACGAAACAUAUGGGCCGGGUCAGGAUUAGAUUGGGUCAAGCAAGCCCAAAUUAGUCUGGUGUGUGCAGUACAAAGUGCGCUGCAUUUGGAGCCUACCCAGUUUGAUUAGGUUGAUUAAGAUAAAUAAAGUAGUUUUGAAUGUCUUUAUUUGUAUUUAGACAGCCAAACUAAUCAACCUAUUUAGGUUGGUUACAAGUCCAAUUAGUUAGCGGUCUUUAUAGUCCAUACCACGUUCACUGUGCCAAAAAGAAUGAUAUAUAUGUAUAUAUAUAAAAUCAUGUCCAUAAGGAGAAAGUAAAAGGCUGAGGGACUUGCCCGAACGGCCAUACUUUUUUCAAUUUCUUUUCUGAAUUGGAUGACAUUGCGAAAAGGUUCACAAAUGCAGCAAACACACUAAACCAGGUUGGUUUAUUUAUUUAAUUGUCUAUUUUAGAAAACCAUGCAGAGACACUCAGUAGAAAAGGAAAGCAUGGAAGCAACCAUGGCAACCUCACAUACGCUCACUCGAAACGCAAGCUCUUGAUUAUUAUAGUUCUCACACCAGCAGGUAUACGAACUCAAACCCGAACCACUUCAAGCAUAGGCACCAGGGUUGGCCAGGAGGUAGGCCUCUGCAGCCUUGAUAGUCCCCCCGAUCACUGCUUCCUUUCCCUUGGCAAUCUCAUCCUUGUUGUCAACUCCUGGUAAUGGCUUAUAGGUUGUCACCACCUUGCACACGCACCCUCCCUUGCUGGAUUUCUCGAACUUGAAAUGGGUUGAGGCCGACUCGAUCUUCUUCCCGAGAUCGCCGCCUUCGACAAGGCUGUGCUUGCACUCAAGCUUGUUGAAGUCCACAAAGUCCAGGCGCUCCUUUACAUAGCCAAAUGGCAUGGCUACAAAUAUUAGAACCACAAGGUUAGCACAAACUCUAAGUACAUGAAAAUUAUAUAUAUAUAUAAAGGUUUGUUUGGGUAAUUGGGCUGAAAAAAUUAUAUUAAAUUUGUGAAUUGAGCCUGUACAACUAACUGGUCUAGACCUAUAUUCAUAAGUACUUACAAAUAGCUUUGGAGUGGGCCGGCUAGAUUUUCAAAUUAAGACAAAAAGAUCUUAGCCUAUAAACUUGUGAAUAUCGGCUUAGUUCGGCCUAUAAUCCUAUGAUUUUGAUGGCUGUACUGGCUCAAUCUAUGAAUCCAAAAGGAUUUUUAGCCCAAUCAUCGAAAUAGAAUCUAAACUAGAAAAUUUCAAAGUAUGGGUCAUAAUACCUGAGGUAAAGUUGAUCUGUCGGACACUCCCGAUGCUACCAUCACCAUGGACACCGGCGGCGCUUGCGACGAUGUCAGGCAGGAGCUUAGCGGCCAAGUUGUGCCAGUCAAGGACCGCCUUGAACAACCUUGGAGCGGGCGCUUGGGACUCGACCUCGAGGUUCCAACACGGGGGACUCAUGGUUAAAUUGGAUUCUUUAUUGGGCUUCACUUCUUAUGCUAAGUUGUGGUGAGUGAAAUCCAGAUGGAGAAUGGCGAGCAAAGGUUGGGGGUUUUAUAGAGGGUUUGUGUGGAAUGGUAGGUAUGGAACGGAGAAGCAUGCGUGCUGGUUUAUUCAUAUUUGGGCAGCGCCGUUGCUGAAACUGCUGACUAAUAAAAAUAGAGGAGGAAAGAGUGCAGGGGAGAGAGGCGGGCAGGUGGCUCACAUCAAGGUGAGACCUCGGGGAACCGUUUUUUUACAUUCUGACGGAUCCCAGCUAAAACAGAUCGCUAUAACCGUUGAUACAUGCCCUGCUUCGCAGUUUAUGAUUUCAAUUUUUAAUAUUAAAAUAAUAUAUGAAAAACUAACCCUUUUAGUGUUCGUCCAAUAAAAGUAACAUUUUUCAGGUGAGACAAACUUAAUUAUUUGGAGAUUAUUUAGAUUAUAAUAAACUGUUUUAUUGCCCAAUAACCCACCCAUUAUCUUUUUCUGCAUUAUAUUGUUAUAGUCACAGAGUAAAGUAAGAGCGGUGAUUACCAUCCGCUGCUGAGAGAUGUUUCCGGAUCGUAAUUUGUGGUGGGAUGGUACUCUAAACUAAGUACGUAUUUAGAGAGGUCAAUGAUGUUGCAGAUUGGGUGACCUUUUUUUGUUGCCGACCACUCGAAAGACCACCUUUGGGUAGAAAAGGCAGCGUUGCCCAGUGCACUCCAUGAUGUACUAUUUUUUGGUUUACUUGGUUGUAUCUGUACACGUUAUAUGUGAUAUUCCGACUUUUAGCAAAAAAAAAAACAAAAAGCAUUAUAAAUUUAUAGUAAUCAUUCUUCUUUAUAUAUAUAUAUAUAAUAAUAAUAAUAAUAAUAAUAAUAAUAACAACCAAUAAUGCGGGCCAUGGUCAUAGUGGGCACACCAUGUUUGUAAUAAAGAUCAACAUGUUGGCCUAUUUAUUAAAUAAAUUGAGUUCAAGUUUAAAUCUUUGACCUAUUUAAUUUAUUUCGAUUCAUUUAAUUAUUAGAUAAGAUCAUCUGACCCAUUUAAUCCGUUAAAGAUCUACUUAAUCUAUUUAAUCCGACUCUCUUAACUUGUUUCUGUUUAGUUUAACUCGAUAUACUUAACCUAUUUAAAUUCAAUUAAUUUAUUAAAAAUUUAUUUAACUUGUCUUAACUUGUUUAAUAAGCGUGUUAUAUGGAUAAGGUCGAGUUACCUAUUUAAUAAAUAGAGCGGGAUUGAAUUGGUAAAUUUUUAACUCAACUCGUAUCUGAUUUGAUUCAUAUCCGCCACGAUCUGAUCCAAUUGUCACUCUUAUUUUGCUCAAAUAAAAAAUUUACCUAUAAAAACAAAUCUAAGGUACAUUUUGUUUUUGGUUAUUUUUUAGAAACUUUGUCUAACUUAAACAUCGAAGGCCUCCUCGUCCGAAUCAGCUUUGGCAACCUUCCGGUUAGUUUUUUUUUUUUGUUGCUAAAAACAAGUAUAUCAUACAAUGCGGGUACGGAUACACCCAUUAGAGUCGGCAAACAGCAAAUCACACAAUGCCCUAGGUAAGUUCCCCUCCUCAUCCAUAGGGUGUCUCUUGAAUGGUUCGCCACAGACGCUGCCACCCAGUCCGCUGCCCCGUUGGCCUCUCGGUACACGUGCUUGGCUUGAAAGACCACUCCAUCACUCACUAUUUUUCAGAUAUUUCGAAGCAAGGGGUGUAACCGUUCACCUCCGCCCGGGCCCUGUUGGGCCCAACCAAUAAUGAUGAUGAGUCACCCUCCAGUAUGAUUGAGGUAGCUUGGAGCGCUCGCCUAGCAUGACACAGUCCAGUCCAGGCCGCCCGCAACUCUGCUCCCGAAACCGAGAUGUCGAAGAUCUGGCAGCCACCACCCUGGAGCUCGGGCCUCUGAUGACAAAAUCAGCUCCUCCCCUCCUGUCGCCAUUUAGAACGGAAUCGUCAAAAAUUAACCUUGAGAAAACUCGGAGGUGGUGGCUCUCAUGUGAAAUACACCAUACAGAGCGUUGCUUGAGCAAUAUGGGGGCCUUAGAUGUCCUGAGCUAUCCAAGGCACAUGAUCCAAGCCUACUUGAGUGAUUUCAGCUGUCUGUUUUCUGGCACGCUCUAUCACAAACUGUGGGGAUAAAUUAUGUUCGUCAAAAAUUCGAACGUUCUUCAUCAGCCAAAUCUGAUAAGCUCACCGCUACGGUCUCACAUCGCAUAUGAAGGGUACUGGACCACCGCCGCAUAGUCUGGAAGAAGAAAUCCUCUUGGCACCGUGCCUCCUGCGGCACCCCAGCAAGUCGCCAGGCUCCAACGACCUUCAAUGUAUGGUUUUGACGGCAACAGCUUUGAUUAAUUAUUAUUGUACGAGAAAACUUUGUCAUCGUCAAAGAAAUUUGCAAGAAGGGGACUCGAUCAGCUCUGUAGGCAGUACAUGUCACAGCAAAUCCAGUGUAUAAACUUUAACACGUGUUUGUAUCCGACAUGAAAUUUAGUGUUCUUUUUUUUUCUGCUUAAAACGGGUUCUUCAGACAACGCGUGUCCGAAUACAUCCAAGAACAUCAAAAUACAAAAUCUCACGUAGUGCCAAUGGCAGCUCUCACUCUCCUGCCCACAGGGCGUAUCCCGAGUGGUGUGCUGCAUAUGCAGCUAUCCAGUCAGCCGCCCCGUUGGCCUCCCUAAAUACAUGCUUAGCCUCAAAGGCCGCACCAUCCUUCACCAUCAUCCUAAUAUCCCGAAUCAAAGGAUGGCCAGUGCUCUCACGCCGAAUCCACCCAAUGACAGUGGAUGAGUCGCCCUCCAAGAUGAUCGAGCUAGCCCGCAGUACCUGCCGCGCAUGGCGAAGGCCGGCCCAGGCAGCUCGCAACUCCGCCUCUGCCCUCUGGAACUGAUAUGUCGAAGAGCCGGCAACCGCCCGCUGCCACUACCCUAGAGUGAGGGUUUCGUAUGACGAAGCCUGCGCCGCCUCGUGUACCACUAUCUAGUACUGAACCAUCAAAGUUAACCUUGAAGAAACUCGGGGGUGGGGGCUCCCAGGUGAAGAACACCGUCCGAAGAGCUGCCUGAGUAGAGAAAGAACUCCAGGUGUCCCGAGCUAUCAAGGCCGUAUCUGAAGGGCUGGUAGGUCUGGAAUCCAUCGCCAGUACUCGAGCAGACUCCGCAACAAACCUCGGCGACAUUCUACGCUCACCGAAGGUGCGAGCGUUCCUUGCCAGCCAGAUCUGAUGGGCAGUGCAAGUUGCUUGGAUGGACUCCUGACAUGUCCGAGGACUGGCCAGCCACUAUCAUAUCAUAUGUAGAAAAAGUCUCCUCUCCCGCCACACCUUCUCUGGGAUACCCGUCCACUGCCAUGUCAACCUCGCCCAAGUACAUCCAAAUAGUACAUGGUCCACUGACUCGUCUGCACCGCAAGCCCCACACUCCGCAGGGAUCCCCAAACCACGUCGGCUCAGCACUGCUCUCGUCGGGAGACGGUUCCACAUCACCUUCCAUAAAAGAGUGCUGCUCUCGGGUGGAGCCUGGACCUCCAAAUCCAAGCACAGUCCCAUCCACUCUCAUGCUCUCACUGAAUCACCCGGGCCAGGUCACCCAGCCUAACACUGGCCCUGCAUGAAGUGCUCCAAACCCUGACAUCUGGGCCCUCGCAUCCUGGUACUAGAAGAGAAAGGAUCCUCUUGGCUAGAUGUGCCCCGAACAACUGAUGUAGUCUGUCCUCGUCCCACUCUGCCCUCCCUGGUGCUAGGAGGUCGCACAUCCGGACCCCACUGCUGCCUCAAAAUCCACCGUCGUCGGCCAAUAUCUCAAAGGAAUGGUAUCCACUCAUGGAUCAUCAGUCACAACAAUGGUCCGGCCAUCGCCCAUCAGCCACCUGGUAUUAGCUAACACGGUCGGCAGGUACCUCCCAAUCUCGCGCCACAUGAAAGAGAUACGGCGACCACACCGUGCCACCUCAGGGCUCCCUCUUUUUUUUUGGUACAUGAAAAUUUAGUUUGGGUACGUGGCAAGAGCUCGAGCUGGGGAUCCUGGCCUGCAAGAUGAUGCGUUUAGCGCCGCCCGCACCGCCCCACCGCGCUAUUCCCAACUUAUUCCCCGCCAAUAACUACUUAUUCUCCGGUUGGGCAGUAAAGGUCGGAGAAGGGUAAGACCAAAGAGUCGGGCCGAAAAUUUUUCUAAACUGCCAAAAAGGUUCAAAGCUGAAGGCGGAGAUUUUGUCGGAAUGACGUGUCCCGCAGGACCAAAACGCACGGCUCUUACGGUGGUAGCGUCACAGAAUGGAGACCUAGCCAUCUAGAAAUCUUAUCUCCCUCUUAUUUCUUACUAAGAAACGUCCUCUCUUUCAUCUGGUAAAGAAGAUGAUUUACUGGCUCGUAUGGUCGGCAAGGAAAAGAAUUGCAUGUUUCUUUCUAUUUAAAUAGCAGUGGUAGGACUCAUAUUGGGACAAGGCAACCAAGCGUCGUGGUUCUAUCUUGACUAAUAAGAAAAAAUGUCCCAUAGAUUUAUUAGCCCUGCCAAUUCUUCUUUCAACAACUUAUUUUUAGACUUUGAGUAUGUGACAAAUAAUAUCAGAACCAUACCUAUUGUGCGUCACAAACUUCAAUAGUCAUAUGGGCUCUUUAUUGAAAUAGACUAAAGUCGAGUAAGACUUGGGCUAUGGAUGGACCCCGUCUCUAGAGUAGGCUUCAACUAUGAUGAGGGCAUCACAAAAUUGAAUGGAGGAGGUUGUCAUAAUUCUAUAUUGACCGAUAAAAGAGGUACCAUAUGGGUUAAUCAAUCUAGACCAAUCCACCACCCAAUAGCUUAAGCUUUUGGUUUGUGAGCGUGUGACACAAGGCCCACUCUAAUAUGAAGUCCUAAGCCCAUUUAGCACAACCUGACAUGGCUGAUAUAAGAUGAUGGGAUGCAAUGCAUGUAGCGUCUGAGAAUCUACAGAUUCUGUCCCAACAAAUGCAUGUUGAAAAUUUAAAUUCCAUGAAUGUAAUUACGAAAUUUCAUGUGAUUUUUUAGCUAUUUUAACAAAAUUGAGUGAAAAAAUAAAUAGCAAUCUACGGUUUGCUUUUACUAUGUCCUAAGUUGGAAUCAGAGCUUACUUGGUCUGGGUCAGGUCGGAGUUAUGGCACUGUGGAUUGAGCGCAGCCUGGGUCAUGCCGGAUUAGACAGAUGGUGCAUCAAGUUUGGCCUACUCUUUAAUGGCGUUGGUCAAACCCACAACUACCUUUAGCUAAUUCACCCCAGCUAGAAAGGCUAAUAUAGCUGCUUUGGCUUGUAAUAUAGGGAUUAUAAACAAACUCAUCAGGAUAUGUCAAGAGUUUUUCCCUAUGGUUUCUGUAAUGAGAGAUCUUCAUUAAGGAGUUUAUACUAGAGAAGAAUGAUGUUUGGAGGACUAUAUCAGCCUAGUUGGCUCAACCAAGAAAAAUAUUUUCUACCCUUGAAUUAAUGGCACAAGUUCUUAAAUAAGUGUGAACUGAAAAUUUUAAAUUUGGGGUGUUACUGUCAGGUCAGGUUUAAUUGUGUCAAUGUCCAAUAUGAUAGUCAGUUGGCUUUUGAUAUGAACAAGACGCAAUCCUUUGAUUUGGAGCUGACCCCCAUGACCCUUCUGAUUCCCAAUCCAUGUAAAUUUUGGGACACAUUUUAUGUUGUUUAUUGCACAUGCCUCACAACUUUCGAGCUAUUUAUUACCCAUUUAUUUGACUACUUUGAAAGGUUGCGUAGGCUUUCAUCUAGAGAUCACGAAUUUUUUUCUUUUUUUUUUUUUGUCCUACAUCGGGACUACUCAUAAAAUUCUAGUAUGAAUAUAUUUUAAAAAAAAUCAGAAGAAUACAACAAGUUACGAAGUAUCCGAGACAUCCCCUUCAUCAAUCUAAAAAUUCUCCAAAGUGAUUUGUUACAAAGAAAAUCACUCAGUCUGCAGCUCCAUUGGCCUUAUUACAGACGUGUUUUGUUCUGAAGGUAUUGCCAUCGGCACACAUACACACUCACACAUAUAAUAAAAAAAUAAAAAAUAAUUAAAAAAAGGAAAAAAGAAAGAAAGCCCGAGAGGACACAAUCCAAUUGUAGGCUUAAUGUUUGUUAUUGCUGAUGUAUCAAAGAUUGCAACAUUUGGCCUCAACCAAUCUGACUUGUUAGCUGGACGAGGAGGUGUAACCAAAACCCAACCUGCAAGCUCAAUGGGUCAGAUUAGAUUAUUUACGGUUCAAGUUAGGCUGGGUUGGAUAUGUCCGUAUGUUGGUUUUUGUACAUUGGUUGAGAUCUCGAAUAACCCAUCUGUUAUCUUUUUCUACGUUUUAUUGCUAUAAUAACAGAGUAAAGUAGGGGCCAAAAAGUAUUAUAAAUUUAUAAUAACCAUUCUUCUUUUUUUUUAUAAUAACUAAUAUGUGGGCCAUGGUCAUAAUGGGCUCGGGGCAACCCAUGUUUAUAAUAAGGAUGAACCGUUAUCUAUUAAGUGAAUUAAGUUCAAGUUUAAAUCUUUGACUUAUUUAAUUUAUUUUGAUUUAUUUAAUAAUUAAGAUCUAACUCAUGUAAUCAGUUUAAGACAUGCUUAAUCUAUUUAACUCGAUCUACUUGACUUGUUUCUAUCCUAUCUUAACUUAUCUAAAUUCAAUUAAUCUAUUAAAAAUUUAUUUAGCUUGACAUGGCUUGUUUAAUAAAUGGAUUAUAUAAAUCAAGCCAGGUUACUUGUUUAAUAAAUAGCUUAGAUUCAAAUUAAUGAAUUUUUGACUUAAUUCGUAUUCGAUGUGAUCCAUAUCCGAUCUUAUCUGUUUCAAUUGUGACCGGUACCACUUAGAUAAGAACUUUUUAUCUAUUAAAAACCUAAUUUUUUUUUAAGUCUCUUUUUUUUUUCUCCUGCUAUUUCUUAGGGCUCUGUUUUAGUUAAACAUCGAUCGCCCUCGCUCGGAUCAGCUUUGGCAACCUUCAAGCUCUUUUUUUCCUUUUCUGUGCAAGAUGAGGGUCACAAAUUGGAUCUUCUUCCUUACAUGCACAUCCGCCAACGACCUUCAAGUAUCAGAUUGGGUUUUGAUGGCAACAGCUUGGAAUAAUUAUUGUUGUACAAGAAAACUUUGUCAUCGUCAAAGAAAUUUGCAAUGAGGGGACUCGAUCAGCUCUGCGGGCAGUACAUGUCACAGCAAAUUUGUAUCUAACAUGAAAGUUUAGUGGGUUUUUUUUUUGGUACAUGAAAUUUUAGUUUGGAUACGUGGCCAGAGCUCUAGCCGGGUAUUUCGGCCCGCAAAACAUAGAGGUUUAUUUUUUUUAAUAAAAAUGGUAUUUUAUAUAGCUCUAACAUGAGUACGUCCUGAAAAUGUCUCUCGUGGAUGUUUAGAUGAUCUCUCCGAAGUGCCGGACAACAAAGGAGGCGAUUCAGUUUGCAUCACUGUUCGCUUCCCAGAACACAUGUAAUGCCUGAAAAGAGCUCAGUUCCUGGACCAGUCUACGAGUAUUACAAAUAAAAGAGUAACCAUCACCAUAUAUGUUCACUCCCCACACCCAAUCAAUUACCACUGAACAGUCUCCCUCAAGGUAUAUGCACUUAGCACCAAGUACCCGCCAUGUAAAGGAGAUAUCCUUUCAAGCUGUCCGUAGCUCCGCUCCAAUUAUAGUAAGACUGUGUGUACAGUGACCACCCGAUGCUAUCACCCUGCUGAGGUGAGGGAAAGACUGAAGAGCGGAUCUUGGUCCCAUGCAGGCUAUGGUAGUUCCGUGCUUGAGAUGCCGAAAAUAGCCCUGAGAGGGAUAUAGUGGGAAGGAAAUUAAGAUUUCGCCGCUGAUAUGUUUUUGUUUGUUUUUUUUUUUUUGCUUUAAAAAGAGAGCAUAGUUGGUGGAUAAAAUUAGAAGAAGCCGGAUAGCUUGGAGAUGGCGGGACAAGGUGCUUAUCCUUGUGGUCAGAUGGAAACUUAGCGGGAAAACGAUUCGGAUGCAAGUCAAUGCCUUUUUAGCUGGCUAUCUUGAGAUAAUAUGUUGUAAAAGAAAGUGUUAGUGGUGUCGUUAGCAAGAAUAUUAGAAGCCCUCAGGGUAGGCUAGUGGUGAGUUUAAUGGCCCUGCUUACUUCAAAUUUAAUUAAUGGUUGUUUGUGAUUUGCAUUUUAAUUGCAUAAUUAUUUCUGUUUAUGCUAGUCGAACCAAAGACAAGAAUAAUCCGUGGUACUCACGCCUCGGAAAGGAAAUUAGGUUGCGGACUGACUUGCAAUUUUUAUUGUUCCAUUGGCUUUAGCAAAAAACCAGAGCGAAAACAUAUGGGCCGGGUCAGGGUUAGAUUGGGUCAACCAAGCCCAGCUUAGUCUGGUGUGUGAAGUACAAAGUGCGCUGCGUUUAGAGCCUACCCAGUUUGAUUAGGUUGAUUAAGAUAAAUAAAGUAGUUGUGGAUGUGUUUAUUUGUAUUUAGACAGCCAAAUAAAGAAGUUUUGGAUGUGUUUGUUUGUAUUUAGAGAGCCAAACUAAUCAACCUAUUUAGGCUGGUUACAAGUCCAAUUAGUUAGCCGUCUUUAUAGUCCAUACCACGUUCAGUGUACCAAAAAGAAUGAUAUAUAUAUAAUCAAGUCCACAAGGACAAAGUAAAUGGCUGAGGCACUUGACCGGACGGCCAUACUUUUUUCAAUUUCUUUUAUCUGAAUUGGAUGACAUCGUGAAAAGGUUCACAAAUGCAGCAAACACACUAAACCAGGUUGGUUUAUUUAUUUAAUUGUCUAUUUUAGAAAACCAUGCAGAGACACUCAGUAGAAAAGGGAAGCAUUGAAGCAACCAUUGCAACCUCACAAACACUCACUCCAAACGCAAGCUCUUGAUUAUUAUAGUUCUCACACCAGCAGGUAUACGAACUCAAACCCGAACUAACCACUUCAAGCAUAGGCACCAGGGUUGGCCAGGAGGUAGGCCUCUGCAGCCUUGAUAAUCCCGAUCACUGCUUCCUUUCCCUUGGCUAUCUCAUCCUUGUUGUCAACUCCUGGUAAUGGCUUAUAGGUUGUCACCACCUUGCACACGCACCCUCCCUUGCUGGAUUUCUCGAACUUGAAAUGGGUUGAGGCUGACUCGAUCUUCUUCCCAAGAUCGCCUCCUUCCACCAGGCUGUGCUUGCACUCAAACUUAUCGAAGUCCACAAAGUCGAGGCGCUCCUUUACAUAGCCAAAUGGCAUCGCUACAAAUAUUAGAGCCACAAGGUUAGCACCAACUCUAAGUACAUGAAAAUUAUAUAUAUAAGAGCUUGUUUGGAUGAUUAGGCUGAAAAAAUUCUAUUAAAUGUAUGGAUUGAGCCAGUACAACUAGCUGGUCCAGGCCCAUAUUCAUAAGUACUUAGGAAUAGCUAGAGUGGGCCGGUUAGAUUUUCAUAUUAAGAAAAAAGAUCUUAGCUAAUAUAGGCUUAGACCAGCCUGUAAUCUUAUGAUUUUGCUGGCUAUGCUGGCUCAAUCUAUAAAUCCAAAAAAAAAUUUAACCCAAUCAUCAAAACAGAACCGAAGACUAGAUAACUUCAGAGCAUGGGCCACAAUACCUGAGGUAAAGUUGAUCUGCCUGACACUCCCGACGCUACCAUCACCAUGGACACCGGCGGCGCUUACGAUGAUAUCAGGCAGGAGCUUAGCGGCCAAGUUGUGCCAGUCGAGGACCGCCUUGAACAACCUUGGAGCGGGAGCUUGGGACUCGACCUCGAGGUUCCAACACGGGAGACUCAUGGUUAAAUUGGAUUCUUUAUUGGGCUUCACUUCUUCUGCUAAGUUGUGGUGAGUGAAUUCCAGAUGGAGAAUGGCGAGCAAAGGUUGGGGGUUUUAUAGAGGGUUUGUGUGGAAUGGUAGGUAUGGAACGAAGAAGCAUGCGUGCUCGUCUAUUCAAAUUUGGGCAGCGCCGUUGCUAGAACUGCUGUCUAAUAAAAAGAGAGGAGGACAGAGUGCAGGAGAGAGAGGUAGGUAGGUUGCUUACAUGAAGGUGAGACUUCGGGGAACGUUUUUCGUCCAUUCUGACGGAUCCCAGCCAAAACAGACGUGAGCGCCAUUAUUGUUGAUAUAUGCCCUGAUUCGCAGUUUAUGAUUUCAAAUUUUUAAUAUUAAAAUAAUAUAUGAAAAACCAACCUUUACUGUUCAUCUAAUAAAAAUAUCAUUUUUCAGGUGAGACAAACUUAAUUAUUUGGAGAUUAUUUAGAUUAUAAUAAAUUGUUUUAUUGCCCAAUAAUCCAUCUGUUAUCUUUUUCUACGCUAUAUUGCCAUAAUAACAGAGUAAAGUAGGAGCCAAAAAACAUUAUAAAUUUAUAAUAACCAUUCUCUCUCUCUCUUCUUUUUUUUUUUAUAAUAACUAACAUGCGGGCCGUCAUCAUAAUAGGCACGUGGCAACCCAGGUUUGUAAUAAAGAUCAACCUGCCAGGCCUAUUUGGUAAAUAAAUUGAGUUUAAAUUUAAACUCAGUAUACUUAAUCUAUUAAAAAAUUAUUUAAUUGGCUUUGACUUGUUUAAUAAAUGGGCUAUAUAGCCAGAUCAGGCCAUCUAUUUAAUAAAUAAAUCAAAUUUAAAUAGAUAAAAUUUUAAUUUAAUCGAUAUUCGCCACCUCUUUUUUAUUGGAAUAAAAAAAAUUUAUUUAUAAAAAGAAUUUAUUUUUUUAUUUGCUAUUUUUUAGAGGUUUUGCCUAAUUUAAACAUCGAAAGGCCCUUCCCGUCGGAUCGGCUUUGGCAACCUUCGAGCGGGUUUUUUUUUAUUUUUUCCUGCUGCAAGGUGACAGGCACAAAUGGGACCCCACGUCUUUCAAAGUGUCAUAUCGGGUUUUGACGGUAACAGCUUUGAUUUAUUAUUAUUGUACGAGAAAACUUUGUCAUCGUCAAAGAAAUUUGCAAGAAGGGGACUCGAUCAGCUCUGCAGGCAGUACAUGUCACAGCAAAUCCAGCAUAUAAACUUUAACACGUGUUUGUAUCUGACAUGAAAUUUAGUGUUUUUUUUUUUUGGUACAUGAAAAUUUAGUUUGGGUACGUGGCAAGAGCUCUAGCUGGGGAUCUUGGCCUGCAAGAUGAUGCGUUUGGCGCCGCCCGCACCGCCCCCACCGCGCUAUUCCCAACUUAUUCUCCGCCAAAAACAACUUAUUCUCCAGUUGGGCAGUAAAGGUCGGGGAAGGGUAAGACCAAAGAGUCGGGCCGAAAAAUUUUCUUAAGUGCAAAAAGGUUCAAAGCUGAAGGUGGAGAUUUUGUCGGAAUGACGUGUCCAGCAGGGCCAAAACGCACGGCUCUUACGGUGGUAGCGUCACAGAAUGGAGACCUAGCCUUCUAGAAAUCUUAUCUCCCUCUUAUUUCUUACUAAGAAACGUCCUCUCUUUCAUCUGGUAAAAAAGAUGAUUUACAAGGAUCGUAUGGUCGGCAAGGAAAAGAAUUGCAUGUUUAAUGGUGGGACUCAUAUUGGGACAAGCCUCGUGGUUCUAUCUUGACUAAUAAGAAAAAUUGUCCCAUUGAUUUAUUAGCCCCACCAAUUCUUCUUUUAACAACUAAUUUUUAGACUAUGAGUACGUGACAAAUAAUAUCAGAACUAUACCUAUUGUGCGUCACAAACUUCAUUGGUCAUCAGAGCUCUUUAUUGAAAGAGACUAAAGUCGAGGAGGACUUGGGCUAUGGACAGACUUCCAUCUCUAGAGUAGGAGACAUCUAUGAUGAGGAUAUCACAAGAUUAAAUGGAGGAGAUUGUCAUACAUGUGGCGGCCCCGAGUGGACAAAGAUGCUCCUAUAUGCGGUGGAAGAUUUGCAGGUACAUGCCUACUGUCUUGGUGAAUAAUAGAUGGCUGAUCAGCGAUGGGCAGAACGUGAAUGUGGUAGAGGAUUUGUGGGUGGACUCUCUUCCUUUGAGACUCUGGACGACCAUGGUCAACGUCGAGACAGUGGACAGGGUCCGUGAUCUUCUUAGUCCAGAGGGGGCGGAGUGGGAUGUCUGCAGGAUCGAUCAGUUAUUUGGAGAGCACUCUGUAGAGCGUGCUCGAUCGCUCCCGAUUCCCAGGUGUGCUGAUGGAAGGGUUUGGAGCACGUCCUACAGAGCUAAUGUCAGUGUGGGAGAUGUUUUUCGCACCCUCCAGCGGGAGCACAAACUUUGGAUGGUUGUGCUUGGAUCUGGAGCUUUAGACUCUAUCUAAGAGUAGCAUUAUUUCUGUGAAAGAUGGCCUCGAGCAUCCGCCGACAAGAUUGGUGCUGAGCAGAAGGGGGCUGGGCUUUCAUCCCCAGUGUCCGGAUUGCCGAGUGAAUGAGACGGUGGUGGACGAUGCGCUAGAUCAUGUUCUAUUCCAGUGUGUGUAGGCUAAGGGGUUUGGGUUUGUCAUUAGGAGCCCGAACUCUAGAAUAGUGACUGCUGGUGGCUAUCGGAUCUUCAAUAUCUCAGUUUCUAGAGCAAAGCUGUGGGCGGCUUGGGCCGGUCUGAGUCAUGCUCGCGCGUGCUACAGACCAGCUCGGUAUAUUAGAGUGUGACUCGACCACUGUAAUCAGCUGGAUCUAGGGUGGCCUGAGUCGCGGUAGAGGAGGACACCAUCUGCUUCGAGAUAUUUGGACUAUGGUGAGUAACGUUGUGGCCUUUUCAGCUGGGCAUAUGUUUAGAGAGGCUAAUGGGGCCGCGGACUGGGUGGCUUCUUAUGUGGCCUAUCACUCUAGGGGUACUCUGUAGGCUGGGGAGGAGGAGCUGCUGAGAGCACUCUAAGACUUGUUAUUUUUUAUUUUAUUGGGUGUAUCCGUACUCGUACGGUACGAAAUGCCGCUUUAGGUGGAAAAAAAAAAAAGGAGAAAAAUACAACCUUGUCCCUCGUCCUUUUGUGUGGGUCGAGGUGCUUAUCCUUGUGGUCAAAUGUAAACUUAGCGGGAAAACGAUUUGGAUGCGAGUGAAUGCCUUUUUAGAUACCAAGUUUGUUAUCUUCAGAUGGUAUGUUAUAUAAGAAAGUGCUAGUGGUGACGUUAGCAAGAGUAUUAUAAGCCACCAGCGUAGGCUAGUGGGGAUCUUAAUGGCCCUGGUUACUUCAAAUUUAAUUAACGGUUGUUUGUGAUUUGCAUUUUAAUUGCAUAAUUAUUUCUGUUUAUGCUAGUCGAACCAAACACAAGGAUCAUCCGUGGUACUCACAUGCCUCGCAAAGGAAAUUAGGCUGCGGAUUGACUUGCAAUUUUUAUUGUUCCAUCGGCUUUAGCAAAAAGCCAGUAUGAAAACAUAUGGGCCGGGUCAGGGUUAGAUUGGGUCAACCAAGCCCAAAUUAGUCUGGUAUGUGAAGCACGAAGUGCGCUGCAUUUAGAGCCUUCCCAGUUUGAUUAGGUUGAUUAAGACAAAUAAAGUAGUUUUGGAUGUGUUUAUUUGUAUUUAGACAGCCAAACUAAUCAACCUAUUUAGGUUGGUUACAAGUCCAAUUAGUUAGCCGUCUUUAUAGUCCAUACCACGUUCACUGUGCCAAAAAGAAUGAUAUAUAUGUAAUAUAUAAAAUCAUGUCCAUAAGGAGAAAGUAAAAGGCUGAGGCACUUGACCGAACGGCCAUACUUUUUUCAAUUUCUUUUCUGAGUUGGAUGACAUUGUGAAAAGGUUCACAAAUGCAGCAAACACACUAAACCAGGUUGGUUUAUUUAUUUAAUUGUCUAUUUUAGAAAACCAUGCAGAGACACUCAGUAGAAAAGGGAAGCAUGGAANNNNNNNNNNNNNNNNNNNNNNNNNNNNNNNNNNNNNNNNNNNNNNNNNNNNNNNNNNNNNNNNNNNNNNNNNNNNNNNNNNNNNNNNNNNNNNNNNNNNNNNNNNNNCCCGAUCACUGCUUCCUUUCCCUUGGCUAUCUCAUCCUUGUUGUCAACUCCUGGUAAUGGCUUAUAAGUUGUCACCACCUUGCACACGCACCCUCCCUUGCUGGAUUUCUCGAACUUGAAAUGGGUUGAGGCCGACUCGAUCUUCUUCCCGAGAUCGCCGCCUUCGACCAGGCUGUGCUUGCACUCAAACUUGUCGAAGUCCACAAAGUCCAGACGCUCCUUUACAUAGCCAAAUGGCAUCG